UACGAAGGGGGCUAGCGUUGUUCGGAAUCACUGGGCGUAAAGCGCACGCAGGCGGAUCGUUAAGUCAGGGGUGAAAUCCCGAGGCUCAACCUCGGAACUGCCUUUGAUACUGGGUGUCUUGAGUGUGAGAGAGGUAUGUGGAACUCCGAGUGUAGAGGUGAAAUUCGUAGAUAUUCGGAAGAACACCAGUGGCGAAGGCGACAUACUGGCUCAUUACUGACGCUGAGGCUCGAAAGCGUGGGGAGCAAACAGG
rnacentral:rRNA from 1 species